rnacentral:rRNA from 1 species
GAUGAACGCUGGCGGCAUGCCUAAUACAUGCAAGUCGAACGAGAGGAAGGAAAGCUUGCUUUUCUGAAUCUAGUGGCGAACGGGUGAGUAACACGUAGGUAACCUGCCCAUGUGCCCGGGAUAACUUCUGGAAACGGAUGCUAAAACCGGAUAGAUAGCAGACAAGCAUUUGACUGCUAUUAAAGUGGCUAAGGCCAUGAACAUGGAUGGACCUGCGGUGCAUUAGCUAGUUGGUGAGGUAACGGCCAACCAAGGCGACGAUGCAUAGCCGGCAUGGGAGGGCGGACGGCCACAAUGGGACUGAGACACGGCCCAAACUCCUACGGGGGGCAGCAGUAGGGAAUCUUCGUCAAUGGGGGGAACCCUGAAUGAGCAAUGCCGCGUGAGUGAGGAAGGUCUUCGGAUCGUAAAGCUCUGUUGUAAGAGAAAAACGACAUUCAUAGGGAAUGAUGAGUAAGUGAUGGUAUCUUACCAGAAAGUCACGGCUAACUACGUGCCAGCCGCCGCCGUAA